AUUAGGCUGGUGCAAAGGUAAUUGUGGUUUUUGCUAUCGCUUUUAAAUGGCAAAAACUGCAGUUACUUUUGCACCAA
rnacentral:miRNA from 1 species